rnacentral:rRNA from 1 species
GGAUGAGCCCGCGGCCUAUCAGCUUGUUGGUGGGGUAAUGGCCUACCAAGGCGACGACGGGUAACCGGCCUGAGAGGGCGACCGGUCACACUGGGACUGAGAUACGGCCCAGACUCCUACGGGAGGCAGCAGUGGGGAAUAUUGCGCAAUGGACGAAAGUCUGACGCAGCAACGCCGCGUGAGGGAUGAAGUACAUAGAGAUGUAAACCUCUUUCAGUAGGGACGAAGCUAACGUGACGGUACCUGCAGAAGAAGCACCGGCUAACUACGUGCCAGCAGCCGCGGUAAUACGUAGGGCGCAAGCGUUGUCCGGAAUUAUUGGGCGUAAAGAGCUCGUAGGCGGCCUGUCGCGUCGGCUGUGAAAACCCGCAGCUCAACUGCGGGCCUGCAGUCGAUACGGGCAGGCUAGAGUUCGGUAGGGGAGACUGGAAUUCCUGGUGUAGCGGUGAAAUGCGCAGAUAUCAGGAGGAACACCGGUGGCGAAGGCGGGUCUCUGGGCCGAUACUGACGCUGAGGAGCGAAAGCGUGGGGAGCGAACAGGAUUAGAUACCCUGGUAGUCCACGCUGUAAACGUUGGGCGCUAGGUGUGGGUGACUGUUCACGUUAUCCGUGCCGUAGCUAACGCAUUAAGCGCCCCGCCUGGGGAGUACUGCCGCAAGGCUAAAACUCAAAGGAAUUGACGGGGGCCCCGCACAAGCGGCGGAGCAUGCGGCUUAAUUCGAUGCAACGCGAAGAACCUUACCUGGGCUUGACAUAUGGGGAAAACCGGCAGAGAUGUCGGGUCCGCAAGGGCCUCAUACAGGUGGUGCAUGGCUGUCGUCAGCUCGUGUCGUGAGAUGUUGGGUUAAGUCCCGCAACGAGCGCAACCCUUAUCCUAUGUUGCCAGCGGUUCGGCCGGGGACUCAUGGGAGACUGCCGGGGUCAACUCGGAGGAAGGUGGGGAUGACGUCAAGUCAUCAUGCCCCUUAUGUCUAGGGCUGCACGCAUGCUACAAUGGCUGGUACAGAGGGCUGCGAUACCGCAAGGUGGAGCGAAUCCCACAAAGCCAGCCUCAGUUCGGAUUGGGGUCUGCAACUCGACCCCAUGAAGUCGGAGUCGCUAGUAAUCGCAGAUCAGCAACGCUGCGGUGAAUACGUUCCCGGGCCUUGUACACACCGCCCGUCAAGUCACGAAAGUCGGUAACACCCGAAGCCGGUGACCCAACCCUUUUGGGAGGGAGCCGUCGAAGGUGGGACUGG